UGAGGAAUAUUGGUCAAUGGGCGCAAGCCUGAACCAGCCAUGCCGCGUGCAGGAUGACGGUCCUAUGGAUUGUAAACUGCUUUUGUACGAGAAGAAACACUGCUUCGUGAAGCAGCUUGACGGUAUCGUAAGAAUAAGGAUCGGCUAACUCCGUGCCAGCAGCCGCGGUAAUACGGAGGAUCCAAGCGUUAUCCGGAAUCAUUGGGUUUAAAGGGUCCGUAGGCGGUCUUGUAAGUCAGUGGUGAAAGCCCAUCGCUCAACGAUGGAACGGCCAUUGAUACUGCAGGACUUGAAUUAUUAGGAAGUAACUAGAAUAUGUAGUGUAGCGGUGAAAUGCUUAGAGAUUACAUGGAAUACCAAUUGCGAAGGCAGGUUACUACUAAUGGAUUGACGCUGAUGGACGAAAGCGUGGGUAGCGAACAGGAUUAGAUACCCUGGUAGUCCACGCCGUAAACGAUGGAUACUAGCUGUUGGGAGCAAUUUCAGUGGCUAAGCGAAAGUGAUAAG
rnacentral:rRNA from 1 species